GUCUCAUUCAAAGAGGCCAAUGAGAAAGUUGAAAAUGGGAAUAUGCCAACACAUAUCAAUGCAUUUCAACUGAUUGGGAUGUCUUCAUUCCUUGAUCUUUCUGGUUUCUUUGAAAAAGAGGAUGUGUCUGAAAGAAAAAUCAGAUUCACAUCCAAUUUUUCACCCAAAGAUUUAUAUGAGAAGAUUGAGGA